CCGGAUGUCUCUUAGUUCUUGUGGGUUUUCUUAUGUUAAUCCGGAGGGCUAAAGCAGUAAUUAAUUGUAUUGUGUUGGUGGAUGCAUGCAGGUGUGUAUGUUGUGAGAACGAUUGAUCUUUUUUUUUUUUUUUUUUUUUUUUAUUGAAUGUUAAAUUUAAUUCAAAAAGAAAAAACCUUGUUACAACUAUGUGUGGCCUUUCUCCUAAGAUUUCUAUACAAGAUUUAUAAAAUCAAAAAGAAAAUCAUGCUUCAGCUCAUCUACCUCCUCAUCUCUUCCCAUCCUUCUCAAUUCUACCUAGCUCUCACUCCUACUAGGCAGCCAGCUCUCACUCCUACUGGAUAUCCAGCUCUCACUCCUACUGGUUCUUCCUAAUCAAAUUUUUAACCUUCAAUAGUUUAUCCCUUUCUCAAAACUGCAGCUCAAGUCCCCCUCCCAUGAAGUAUUAUCUUGUUGAAAACCAAUAUUGUAACCCUCCUGCCAGCCUCUUAUCCCCCUUCUUUUGAAUGAUUGAGAAUUUAUUUCUCAUGGUCUUGUCGAUCAGCUUUGCAAUUAGAGCAUAUGGAGAAGCA
rnacentral:lncRNA from 1 species